rnacentral:tRNA from 1 species
GUACCCGUAGCUCAGCUGGAUAGAGCGUUGGUUUGCGGUACCAGAGGCCGCAGGUUCAAAUCCUGCCGGGUACACCA